rnacentral:snRNA from 1 species
AGAUAGGAGGCCUGCCUGGCUCCGACAUCUGUCAGCCCACUGAUCACUAGGGUUGAUUCAGCGAGCUGGCUGGCCAGGUGGGGGUCCACUUCCUCCCUCACCGCUCCGAGUGCAUCCCUCCCGAAGCUGCACCCUCUGUGGAGGAGGCAAGGCGACCACCCCGAUAGCGGAGGACUGCUUCCUUGGUCAAGGACACACGAGUGCUCCCCUGCUAGAACCUCCAAACAAGCGAGCGCUCAGAAACCCCAAGGGACAAGAAAGUACGCUAUGUACCAUACGCUGGU